AACGAACGCUGGCGGCGUGCCUAACACAUGCAAGUCGUGCGAGAAAGUUCCUUCGGGAGCGAGUAAAGCGGCGCACGGGUGAGUAACACGUAGGUAACCUGCCCCCCAGUCUGGAACAACUAGAGGAAACUCUAGCUAAUGCCGGAUGAGACCACGAUCCCGUUCGGGGGUUGCGGCCAAAGAUGGCCUCUACUUGUAAGCUAUCGCUGAGGGAUGGGCCUGCGGGCCAUUAGCUUGUUGGUGAGGUAACGGCUCACCAAGGCUGUGAUGGCUAGCUGGUCUGAGAGGAUGACCAGCCACACUGGGACUGAGACACGGCCCAGACUCCUACGGGAGGCAGCAGUGGGAAUAUUGCGCAAUGGGCGAAGCCUGACGCAGCGACGCCGCGUGGGUGAUGAAGGCC
rnacentral:rRNA from 1 species